rnacentral:rRNA from 1 species
UACGUAGGGUGCGAGCGUUGUCCGGAAUUACUGGGCGUAAAGAGCUCGUAGGUGGUUUGUCGCGUCGUCUGUGAAAUUCCGGGGCUUAACCUCGGGCGUGCAGGCGAUACGGGCAAUACUUGAGUGCUGUAGGGGAGACUGGAAUUCCUGGUGUAGCGGUGGAAUGCGCAGAUAUCAGGAGGAACACCGAUGGCGAAGGCAGGUCCCUGGGCAGUAACUGACGCUGAGGAGCGAAAGCAUGGGUAGCGAACAGGAUUAGAUA